ACUCAAAUGAAUUGACGGGGACUCGCACAAGUGGUGGAACAUGUGGCUUAAUUCGUCGACAAGCGAAGAACCUUACCAGGGUUAGAAAUCCAGCUGCACGCCCUCAGAAACGAGGGAAGCCUUCGAGGGUGCUGGACAGGUGAUGCAUGGUCGUCGUCAGUUCGUGGUUUGAACUGUUCCCUUCAGUGGGGUAACGAACGCAACCCCCGUUGCCUGUUAUAUAUGUCAGGCGAGACUGCUCCCUCACGGGAGAGGAAGGUGGGGAUGACGCCAGAUCAGCAUGUCCCUUGAUACCCUGGGCUGCACACGUGUUACAAUGGUCGAUACAGAAGGAUGCAAGACCGCAAGGUGGAGCAAAUCCCGAAAAUCGUCCUCAGUACGGAUUGAGGUCUGCAACCGACCUCAUGAAGCCGGAAUCACUAGUAAUCGUAGGUCAGCCAUACUACGGUGAAUACGUUCUCGAGUCUUGUACACACCGCCCGU
rnacentral:rRNA from 1 species